rnacentral:rRNA from 1 species
UAAUGCCGGAUGCUCCAUCACACCGCAUGGUGUGUUGGGAAAGCCUUUGCGGCAUGGGAUGGGGUCGCGUCCUAUCAGCUUGAUGGCGGGGUAACGGCCCACCAUGGCUUCGACGGGUAGCCGGCCUGAGAGGGCGACCGGCCACAUUGGGACUGAGAUACGGCCCAGACUCCUACGGGAGGCAGCAGUGGGGAAUAUUGCACAAUGGGCGCAAGCCUGAUGCAGCGACGCCGCGUGAGGGAUGGAGGCCUUCGGGUUGUAAACCUCUUUUGUUAGGGAGCAAGGCAUUUUGUGUUGAGUGUACCUUUCGAAUAAGCACCGGCUAACUACGUGCCAGCAGCCGCGGUAAUACGUAGGGUGCAAGCGUUAUCCGGAAUUAUUGGGCGUAAAGGGCUCGUAGGCGGUUCGUCGCGUCCGGUGUGAAAGUCCAUCGCUUAACGGUGGAUUCGCGCCGGGUACGGGCGGGCUUGAGUGCGGUAGGGGAGACUGGAAUUCCCGGUGUAACGGUGGAAUGUGUAGAUAUCGGAAAAGA